rnacentral:lncRNA from 1 species
UAUGGAGGUUCCCAGGCUAGGGGUCGAAUCGGAGCUGUAGCCGCCGGCUUACACCAGAGCCACAGCAACACCAGAUCCAGUCUGCGACCUACACCACCACUCACGGCAAUGCCAGAUCCUUAACCCACUGAGCGAGGCCAGGGAUUGAACCCACAACCUCAUGGUUCCUAGUCAGAUUCGUUAACCCCUGUGCCACGACGGGAACUCCACUUUUCACACGUUGGGGGAUUAAGAUGGCAGAAUAGAAGGACUGGAGCUCAACUUCUCUCCUAAAAUCAACAAAAUUUACAACCAAAUGCUGAGCAAUCUUCAACAAAAUGGACCUGAAACUUUCAAAAGAUAUCCUACUCCAAAAGACAAAGACGAGGCCACAUCAAGAGCUAGGAGGGGUGAUUACGUGAUAUAAGCAACCCCAUACCUCCUGGGUGGGAAGCCUCACAGACUGGAAAGUAACUGGUUCACAGAGACUCACCUACAGGAGUGAGAGUUCUGAGCCCCACAUCAAACUCCCACCUGUGAGCAUCUGGCACUGGGACAAAAAGCCCCUGGCGUAUCUGGCAUUGAAGGCCAGUGGGGCUUGUGUGCAGGAGCUCCACAGGACUGGGGGAAACGGAGACCCCAUUCUUAAAGGGCACACACAGAAUUUCAUGUGCACUGGGUCCCAGGGCAAAGCAAAGUCUCCAUAGGAAGCUGGGUCAAACCUGACUGCAGUUCUUGGAGGACCUCCUGAGAAAAUAGGGGUGAAUGUGGCUUGUUGUGGGGGAAGGACAAUGGAAGCAAAGCUGUUAGGAAUAUUCAGCAGCCAUGCCUUUCUCUGGAGGUGGCCAUUUUGGGAAAAUCUGGCUCCACCCAUCAGCACUGAGAAGCCCCAGGGCAAACAACAAUCCAGGUGAGAUCACAGCCCUGCCCCUCAGUAAAUAGGCUGCCUAAAGACCCCCCAGGCACGGAGCCCCCCUAAUCCCAUCCAGAGACAAAGCCCCACCCACCAGAGGGAUAGGAAUCAGUUCCACCUACCAGUGGGCAGGCAUCAGUUCCUCCCAUCAGGAAGCCUACAACAAGCCCCCAUACCAACUUCAGCCACAAGGGGAGCAGACACCAGAAGGAAGAGAGGCUACAACUCUAGUACCUGUAAAAAGGGCACUACACAAAAACCUAUAAAA